UGAGAAUUUUGCCUACCUAUUCCCUGGGGAGCUGAAGGUUCUGGCUAUCCUGCUAUCCUGUGAUCCUAAUAUAUCCUGGUGUCUGGUGUAAGAUCCUAUCAAAUCAGCCUCCACAUUUAUCAUCUACCUGUGUUCCUGUGUUCCUGUGUACUGAGUGUUUCCUGACUCCUGAGAAGAGGACUGCCAUCAACUCAGAAAGACUGAAUGAUGUAAGAAGAGAAAGCUAUUUGAAAAGAAGUAACUACAGCAUCCUCUCUGUAUUUUUUCCUAAUAAAUUCUAAAACAUGUACCA
rnacentral:lncRNA from 1 species